UACCUGGUUGAUCCUGCCAGUAGUCAUAUGCGUUGUCUCAAAGAUUAAGCCAUGCAUGUCUCAGUAUAAGUCUUUAUAUGGCGAAACUGCGAAUGGCUCAUUAAAACAGUUAUAGUUUACAUGAUUGUCAACUGUUAUACGGAUAACUGUGGUAAUUCUAGAGCUAACACGUGCAUAAAAACCCGACUUCAAGGAAGGGUUGUAUUUAUUAGAUACAGAACCAAUCCGGCUUGCCGGUUUUUGGAUGAUUCAUGAUAAAUGAACGGAGCGUAUGGCAUGCGCCGACGCUGUGUCAUUCAAGUUUCUGACCUAUCAGCUUCCGACGGUAGGGUAUUGGCCUACCGUGGCCUUGACGGGUAACGGAGAAUUAGGGUUCGAUUCCGGAGAGGGAGCCCGAGAAACGGCUACCACAUCUAAGGAAGGCAGCAGGCGCGCAAAUUACCCAAUCCUGAUACAGGGAGGUAGUGACAAGAAAUAACAAUGUAAGUGCCAACUGGCAUUUUACUAUUGGAAUGAGUAGAAUCUAAAUCUCUUUUCGACUAUCAAUUGGAGGGCAAGUCUGGUGCCAGCAGCCGCGGUAAUUCCAGCUCCAAUAGC
rnacentral:rRNA from 1 species